rnacentral:rRNA from 1 species
GAAACCAACAGGGAUUGCCUCAGUAACUGCGAGUGAAGCGNCAAAAGCUCAAAUUUGAAAUCUGGUACCUCUGGGUGCCCGAGUUGUAAUUUGGAGAGGCAACUUCGGAGGGGGCGCUGGCCUAAGUUCCUUGGAACAGGACGUCACAGAGGGUGAGAAUCCCGUGCUUGGCUGGCUGUCCUCCUUCGUGUGAAGUGUCUUCGACGAGUCGAGUUGUUUGGGAAUGCAGCUCAAAAUGGGUGGUAAACUCCAUCUAAGGCUAAAUAUUGGCGAGAGACCGAUAGCGCACAAGUAGAGUGAUCGAAAGAUGAAAAGCACUUUGAAAAGAGAGUUAAAAAGUACGUGAAAUUGUUGAA